CCUACGGGAGGCAGCAGUGAGGAAUAUUGGUCAAUGGGGGAAACCCUGAAGCAGCAACGCCGCGUGGAGGAUGAAGGUUUUAGGAUUGUAAACUCCUUUUGUGAGAGAAGAUAAUGACGGUAUCUCACGAAUAAGCACCGGCUAACUCCGUGCCAGCAGCCGCGGUAAUACGGAGGGUGCAAGCGUUACUCGGAAUCACUGGGCGUAAAGAGUGCGCAGGCGGGCUUGUAAGUCAGAUGUGAAAUCCUGUAGCUUAACUACAGAACUGCAUUUGAAACUAUGAGUCUAGAGUGUGGGAGAGGUAGGUGGAAUUCUUGGUGUAGGGGUAAAAUGCGUAGAUAUCAAGAGGAAUACUCAUUGCGAAGGCGACCUACUGGAACAUUACUGACGCUCAUGCACGAAAGCGUGGGGAGCAAACAGGAUUAGAUACCCUUGUAGUC
rnacentral:rRNA from 1 species